rnacentral:lncRNA from 1 species
CGCGUCGUCAUCUAUGAGCCCGAGACGAUCCUCUUCGUUCUCGGAACCAUUGCCGGCACCGACUCCACCGGCGGCGGCGGAUUUAAGAGCGACGCAUGACUCGCAGACGGAGAAGGUUGGACCGAGACGAAGCCCCGUGGCUUUCCACGGCGUAAGGGACUGGCAAGAGGUGCAGAGAAGACAACGCGUGUGCUUGGCGACAAGGAAGUUAGCGCCGUGAACUUUACCGUCGCAGUUCCAGCAUAGACUCGCUUGAUCUGACUCGCAAUAUAUUCUUGCAACACCGUCGCAUAAAUCACACUUCUUCUUCCCCAUCGGAUUCACUCUUCAAGAUUCUGAGGGUUGCUUCUGUUCUGUCUCUCUUUUGGUGUUUUUUCUAUUUUUCUGGGGACAGAAAUAAUAAAGAGGAAAGUGCAAGUUGCAGGAGGAGGAUUAUCGUGGCGAGUUUUCUGUGAUUCAAUUCUUUUUUGAGGCUAGUUUCGUCUUUUUAUCAGCAAAAAAAAAAAUCUUUUUCUCUUCUUUGGUUUCAUAAUGCUUCUCUCUAUUCUGUGGUCAGGAACCGUCUCGUUUUCAACCAACUAUGCUUUCUUUUUCAAAGUAUUGAAUUAAUUAGAAGAAUGUUUCAAUCAUUGGCAACCUACAAUUUAUAUAAAUCAUAAUGGUAUAUUAUAGUACUGUACUAGUUACAAAGAAAACGAACAAAGCCUCUGUUGUAAAAAAAAAUAUUCAAAAGAAUAGUUAUAUACUUAAUAUUUGAAAAUCAAAGAUAUUUUUGCUAAAAUUGUACUUACCUGGCCAAGGAGAUCGACCAUCUUUUUACGGAUCGAUCGAUUGUUGAGCAUGUGGUCGAUCCGAAAAUACUUUGCAGUUUAAUUAAAUAUCUAAAACAUUUAUUCCAACACUCAACAGAUAGUUUUGCUAAAUAUGAUAACUAGAUAGCCAACAAAAUUACAAAAAAAUAUUUAAAUAGUAAAAAAUAUGUUAAUUUAACGUGUUAAAAUUUAAAAAUAAAUUUUAAUUAUGACAUGCAUCUUAACAUUUAUAUAAAUAUAUAUCAUAACCUAAAUAUAAAUAAUUUAACAACUUAAAUUAGAAAAAAAAUAAAAAUCCCGGGCGUAGCCCGGGUUAAUCCCUAGUUUGUCUUUAAAUAUCAUCGCUGCAUGUGAUUUGAUUAUCCAAAGUGAAUAAUAGUUGAAUCCUCUUUCUUUUACAGAUGAGUAAUGGGCCCUUAGUAUCUCAUUUGAUUCACCCUCUUCACAGCCAGGUAAAAUAUAAACCACCAUAUGAGGAUUGAGGAAUGGUCUUGAUUCUUUUGAAACUCGUAGGUACAACUGAUGGAUGGAAACAAAGGGGUUCAGUGUGAUUGUGUGUGUGCUUUGUGCUAUCUUUUGCAACCAUGAAGUCUCUGGAAUCUCUUCUGGAUUUUUAUUAUUCUCAGUCCUCUCUUUUUUAAUGAUUCACCCGUAUGAUUUUCACAUUGUUUAAUGAAAAGAGUUUGUUUAAACACAAAACCCAUUUGGGAUAAUGAUCUUCAUUCAUCAAGCUGAUUUGAUAUCCCAUAUGAUACUACAAGAUAGAUGUUGGUUUGUUAUAUAGCAUUUUCUCAAUCUGACCAAGUCAUUCAUCAAACAGGUCUCCUUUGUUAGUUGUGAAUCAGUAUAUCCUCAAUUUAUGAUGCCGUAAAAAUGUACAUUAUGUUAUUGUUGAAGAAUGUUAGGUUGUGCUUAAUUAAUUAAUAAUUAAGUUUAAACUGAUUGUCAAACUCAACGUUUGGGAUAAAGAUCGGUGGUUUGACUUUUGUAACUAUGGACUGAAAGCUUGAAUGCUUUGACGAUAGUCAUGCUUAGAUUGUCAAAGCCACCGAAUUUUUCCUAACAAAAAUAUUUGUACGUACUCAUAUCCAUUUAUCGUGGGAUUUGUUUUUUUUUAUAUAUAUAUUAAGAAUGAUGUUUUGGUAGGAUUUGAAUUUGUUUUUCUUUAUAUAUCCAAACAAACAAAAAUAGUAAAUUAUUAUCCAGAGUAUAUCAUGUGAACCAGGAUGAUGAUGAGAUAAGCUAAAGGUAAGUAAACAUAGGGGAUGGCAUUAUCUUCUUGGACCAUCGAAAACAGUUCGCAGACUCGACAGAUAUGACAGGUUCAAUGUUCUUGGCGUAUGAAAGAAACAUUCAGGACCCAUAAAUAUCUGACUUAUAUUUAAAAAAUUCUGUAGUCCCCACAAUUUUUAUCUUUAUGUGGUCGAUAUUACAAAGCAAACCACAAUCAUAUAUUUAUAUUUUAGUAUUAUGCAUAUCAAUGUGUCCAUUUGUCACCAAUCUCACCCAUUCCUUUGAUCCAUAGAAUCAGCCAUGAACUUAUAAUCGAUAUAUGAAAUUUCGAAUGUAGCAUUAUACAUACGAUGAUUACGAAUCCAAAUUAGUCACUAAGAUAAAAAGACAACAACUAAUAAUGAUAUUAAUAUAUCAAAAUACAAGUUGCACAACAACAAUUAAUUACCUCAACACUAAAACAAGUAUUGUUAGAAUUUCAGAAAUGGACGGAAAUGGAGAAUCAACGGCUGAGAUCUCUCCUCGUUUUGGGGAUGGCAACGAUCAGAGAAGACGACGAUGAGGGAGAUGAAUCAACGGCGCCGUUCAAUGCGCCCUCUCCUUCUAAUCUGAUGAGAGAGUUAACCGCAGCCGUUGAUUUGGACGCGCGUCCUUUUCUCGACGGUCGCUUUAACGGUGGAGAAUAGUUUAACUCUUGAGCUGGAGAAGAGCUUCCGAUCUCGUCCUGCAGUUUCCAAAAAUAGAAAUAAAUGAUUAAAUCCAAAAAAAAAACGAAAUAAUUCGAGAUUGUUCAAAGGAUAGAUCCGUACAUCGGAGCAGUCCCUCCCCCUUUUCCCCACCAGAUCUCCGCCGUCAGAAGAUGAUGAUGAACUCAUCAUAGGAGGCAGUUGCGCUGCAGCCGCCGCAGACCACGGCACCACUUGGUUCUCCACUUCCUCCUCGUCAACUUCUUCAUCUUCAUCACUGUACUCCUCAUCUUCAUCUUCGUCCUCAUCAUCGUCGUAAGACUCCGCGUCGUCAUCUAUGAGCCCGAGACGAUCCUCUUCGUUCUCGGAACCAUUGCCGGCACCGACUCCACCGGCGGCGGCGGAUUUAAGAGCGACGCAUGACUCGCAGACGGAGAAGGUUGGACCGAGACGAAGCCCCGUGGCUUUCCACGGCGUAAGGGACUGGCAAGAGGUGCAGAGAAGACAACGCGUGUGCUUGGCGACAAGGAAGUUAGCGCCGUGAACUUUACCGUCGCAGUUCCAGCAUAGACUCGCUUGAUCUGACUCGCAAUAUAUUCUUGCAACACCGUCGCAUA